GCCUGUGUCCAUGCAUGCCCUUGGAGCCGAUCUGACGGCCAUUGUCUUCCCUGAUGUCGCGGAGCAUAUUUAAAUUAGCUUCCUUCCUUCCUUCAACAAUUCUAGGGCGUCUAUUGAUCGGACAUUUAUCAAACAGGGCAACAAUUCACAAAAUGUCAUGGUCUUGCGCAGCGUUUUAUAUGACAUGUAUAUAUGGCUGUGUUCAUUCUACGCACCUUUUAGAACACUGAUAAUCGCCUGAUAUUUUUUUUUCAUAAAGGAAGCAGGUAAGUGGUAAUUGUGUUGAGCUAAGCUAAUUGUCCUCUAAUCUGGAUCAUGUUGUUGCACCACUCGAGAUCAUGGGUUAUGCAUUUGGAGUCUGGGAGGAUCAUUUGUUUCACAAUGAGAACGGCGGGUUAUUACUCGUUUCUUCCGUUUUAAAAUAUAAAAUGUAUUUUGUUUCGUUGCUGUAAAAUGUUGAGCAAUAUAACAAGAGUUUUUUCAAAAUAUCUCGAGUUACCAUAUUUUUCAAUGUGAAAAUUUAUGUUUUUUACUCGAGUUUUUUUAUCAUCAUUAAAAACACUUUAAAUCAUCAUAUUUUUCAGCGUAAAAAUUUAAUAACUUGAGGUACAAUAUACAUUAAUGUACCGAAUUUUUUAUCAUUCUUGAAAAAGUAUCUCGAGAUACCAUAUUUUGCAGGUUUAACACUUAGCAACUUGAGAGGUAACAUACCUUAAGAUACUUCUGAGAGCAAUUUUACCAUCGUUGAGAAAGUAUCAAGAGGUACCACUGUUUUUUUGUAAAAUUUGGUACUCCUCUUGGUAUCUUAGGUAUUAAAAAAUAUCAAAUUUUACAUAGAAAAGAGUAGUACCUACUCAAGAUGGAAAAAACUCUACUUCUAAAGAAUAGUGAAGGAACUUGAGUUUUUUUAUUAUCGUUGAGAAGGAACUUGAGGUACCAAAAAAUUAGUGUAGAAUUUUAGUAACUUAAGGAACAUUGCAUAUAAAGGUACUAAAUUUUUACAGGGCAAAGUAUGAGGUUAAAAAAGCUCACUAGAAUUUUGCAGUAAUUUUUUUCUAUACCUAAGGUAUUUCUCAAUGAUUGUAAAAAAUAGUAAUUACUAUUUU
rnacentral:lncRNA from 1 species